UGAGGAAUAUUGGGCAAUGCCCGAAAGGGUGACCCAGCAACGCCGCGUGGAGGAUGAAGGUCGUAAGAUUGUAAACUCCUGUUAGAGGGGAAGAAUAACUAAGUUUGGAGCUUAGUAUGACUGUACCCUCAGAGAAAGCCCCGGCUAACUACGUGCCAGCAGCCGCGGUAAUACGUAGGGGGCAAGCGUUGUCCGGAUUUACUGGGUGUAAAGGGCGCGCAGGCGGAAUGGAAAGUCAGUGGUGAAAUCCUACAGCUUAACUGUAGAACUGCCUUUGAUACUUUCAUUCUUGAGUUCGGGAUAGAGAGACGGAAUUCCAGGUGUAGUGGUGAAAUACGUAGAUAUCUGGAAGAACACCAGUUGCGAAGGCGGUCUCUUGGUCCGAUACUGACGCUGAGGCGCGAAAGCGUGGGGAGCAAACA
rnacentral:rRNA from 1 species